rnacentral:tmRNA from 1 species
GGGGUCGUUACGGAUUCGACAGGCAUUAUGAGGCAUAUUUUGCAACUCGAGUGACGGCGUAACCGUUCAGUUAAAUAUAACUGCAAAAAAUAACACUUCUUACGCUUUAGCUGCUUAAAAACCAGCGGGCGUGACCGCUAUGAAAUGGCUUGUGUUUCAUUAGAGGUCUUAUUUUAACAAGCUACGUUUGGUUAGGGUCUAACUAACCAAAAAGAGAUGAUUAGACUCGCAAAAGAUAGGCUUGAGCCUUGUGUCAAUUUUUUGUUAAAUGAAGACAAGGCCUAUGGUUGUAGACAAAUAUGUUGGCAAGUGUUUGGACGUGGGUUCGACUCCCACCGGCUCCAUAA